rnacentral:lncRNA from 1 species
UUAAAAUAUUGAAUAGAUCAUUUUGACGUGAAGUCAACAAUCUUGGAAGCCUUAAGGUGGAUUCACUGAUGGGCACAAAGUAAAGUAUUAAACCAAAUAGCGCAUCAAGGGCCAACAUCAUCAAUAUCUCUGAAAAAUUUCUUGGUAAAAAUUUACUAUCUUUUUGUCUCCUUGAGGUAUUAUUAUUUCUAGUAUUUUGGAGAAUCAUUUCCUGUUCUCUUGUCAAUAAGUCAAGUCGUUUAUUGCUACUUCAAUAUUUGUUGUAAACUUUUUCUGUGAACCCAGAACAAUUAAGGAGAAUGUAUUGGCAUUGUACAAUGAAGAAGGCUCGUCUGGUGUUGGGGAAGAGACUGGAGGCUGUCCGAUCCGGAGAAAAUCUAUUAGUACAGUCGGAAUAGUGGCGAAGGAGAAGUUUCCUGACUAAAUUCUUCUUCCUCAACAACCCAAACUGAUUUAUUACCUUUACUCCCUACUCACAUACUGAAGGAGCUCAAGUCUUUAUCGGAGAAACCAGCAAAGAAAAAAGAAGAAGGGUUACCUCUGGGGGCUCCAUUGUCCUAUAAUUAUUACAAAUCCUUCGUCGAGGACAAGUUCUUUCUUGGCAAGGAAACUCAUGAUGCCUAGGAGCCGAUUGGAGUGAAUACGGAAUUAAGAAGACUAGAGGGAAGGUUGGUCUUCUUGUUUGGAACUUUCUUCAAUACCAGUGUAGGUUAUAAACAAGCUUUAGGAGAAAUAGGAUCAAGGCGCUUCUCUAUUCCAUGAAAAAAACCUAUUGAAAAAGAGUUUAAAACUUAAAACCUCCAAUCAUGACGGACAGCAAAAUUUCCUCCUGUCCAAGGGUUCGGUAAAGGGUAUUUUAAACGUGGUUAAGGUGGUAAGGUCCCUUAAUAAUGGUAUAAAAGGAAUUAAGUUCCACAAGAGAAAACUCUCAGGAGAUGUACCACCGUCCAAAAGAACAGAAAUUGGAGAAGAACAGAGACCCAAAGGACCAGAAUUCAACUUCUAAGGAACUAUCUGGCCUCCCUAUUUGGAAAAAAAGAGAGGAGGUGCGGGUGCGCUACACCAUAGGAGGGUCAUGAUUCAUGGACAUGAGUGACAGUAUCAACUAUCAUAAGUAUUUUUUUUAAAUAUAAUUUUUAUUUGCCAUUGUAGUCUUUAAUGACUUUGUUUAUAAAAUAAACUAAGCUACUCUCUCUUUAUAUAUUAUACGUCGGGGUUACCAUUGUGUUACUCUGUCCUUAACAAGACUUAGUAUAUGUAAUUAAAGUAAAGACACUUAGUUAUUAUAGAUCUUCGUUUAUUAACUACCUCACUCCCUCUGAUCCCUCUUUCGAUCAUGGGUGCCACCUACCAAGUUUAAACAUGGUUACUAUACAUAUAUCUUAUCAAAAUAUUUUGAUAUGAAUUUUAAAGAAUUUUGUAGGAAAACCAAAAUAAUUUUUUGGUUUCAUUUGUAUCUACCUGAAAAUCUAUCAUAAUUAAUCCA